AUGGGACGCAGAGGGCCCAGGGUCACCGGAGCGUCUUACUCCCUAAACCGAGGCAGCACCACGCGGAGCAGCCGCACAGCCCCCUCCGCGUCCAGCUGUGCUCAGUCCAGUGAAGCGCACUCUUCUGUUUGGGGUGGGGGCGGUAACUUGGUGCCCAAGUGCUGUUUUGGCAAAUCUGAAGGGUCGCUAGACGCGUGUCUGUGUGACACGGGGAACUGCCCGAGAGGCCAGGAGCCUGAGCCCCGGAGGGGCCCGGCUGCCACCGCUUCCCAGAUGCCUGGAUCCCAUGCAGGAAAGAAGCAGACAACAGCAGGCCUCCCUGCCCUUCCCCCACGGUGUGGGCACUCCUGGUCCUCUCCGGAUGCCAGCAGGGCCCAGGCCUUCCUGGGGAGGGCACCACGCAGGCCUGCCCUCCAUUUUCAUUACCCCUCAGGGAAGCGUUUAGCUGCAUCUGAGUGAAAUCCAGUAUCCCUGCCUGGGCAAUCNNNNNNNNAGAGGAGCCUGGCGGGCUACAGUCCAUGGGGUCGCAAGGAGUCAGACACAACUGAAGUGACAGACACACGUGUAAACCCCUAUUUGCAGCUAAAAGCCGUGUCUGGAGGUUGGGGCUCUGCCAGGGCCUUGCCAAGUGUCCCUGUCUGCUGGCCUGGAAGGAGGCACUCUGGGUGGGAACGCGUUUGCCCCAGGGGCCCCUGGCUGUCCUGGGGGAGUGGAAGUUUGGGAGGGGCUGUCACUGUCCCCCAGCAGUGCUUGGGGGAGGGUGUGCAGCAGCCCAGAUCGGAUGAGGAGCUGGCAGGACUGUGUUUCAUGAUCCACCCCAAGGCUGCAGAAUGUCGCCGUCACGUCCACCCAGCUGCUGCGGAAGCCGGCGGUUUCUCCCGGUGCACAGUCAUAAGGACAAACGCCAAGUAUGUCUUCUACUGGGGUGGCCUGGUGGCCCCUCUGGGCCCCGCCCUGCAUGGCUGACCCUCCAGAGAGUGACAGGUCACAAACCAGCCCUCUUCUGGGAACCACACUGAUGGUGCCGUCCAUACGACAUGAUUGGCAAUUAAGAACAUGGAUGUGUGUUUUAAGGAAAAAUAAAGUUUUUUCAAGAAAUCGAAAAUAGAAGAACUGAUUGCCCCCAUCAUUGCAUCUGCCCGUAGACCUCCCUUUAUUAUUUGGCUGAACGAAAACACACGUUUUAACUGCUAAGCUGCGCUGACUGUAGAGUCUUAAGGACUAGAUCACCAGGCAGCUGCCGCAGGAGAGGCGGGCACGGCGUCCGUGGGCGCUGACGGGGCCCCGGUCGUGGGCGCCUCCGGCCUCACUGGGGAAAGGCUUUGAGGAUGGCGUUCACCUCCUCGGCCACGGCCGUCAGGGCGAACUCGAACUGCUCCUGGAGGGACAGAGGAGGGAGACGUGAGUGGCGCCUUCUGCUGCAGCCGUGGUCUCCGUGUGCCACCCUGCGGAGAGAAGCUGUUUAGGGGGGACGGGAAGAGCUGCAGGCUGCUGCGGGAGGUGGGCAGGGCACGGGUUUGCGGGGGGAGGCCCAGAGCAGACGGCUGCACCGUGUUCAUCUCCGCUUCUGUUGCUGGAGAAACUGGGGUGGACGUGUGAGUGGGACAGUGGCUGCCGCAGGCUCUGUGCGCCCCCUCCCCCAGCUCCUUCUGACCCCAGCCCCAGCAUGGCCCCCGAGGGGUGGGGCUGGACGCAGCCUCCCGUCCCUCUGAGACUCACUAGAAACGGUCACAGUCACGACCCCUCGGGGUUCCCUGGCCUCAGAAUGGAAAGGGUGGUACUCGUGCUCUUUGAAAAUCCUCCCACCAUCCGGCUCAAUCCGACUCACUUCCGUUUGCCCAGAAACCUCGUCUCACCCUCCACGGUGCCAGCUUAGGCAUGCGUGUGCCCACGGACGCCAGUGCACCUGGGACGGGACACGCUUCUCGUGCAGGCGGAACCUGCAGGACUGCUGAGCAGAAACCAGGGGCGAGUCCCGGGUGUCGGAACCGUCUGCCCCUCCAGAAACGGGGGCUCGGCAGGCAGAGGACAGGCUCACCUGCCCGGCAGGCUUCCCGGGUCCACAACCUGCUCCCGAC
rnacentral:lncRNA from 1 species